CUGGGGGUUCCCAGGUGUCUCAGCCCAAAGCACAGCUUUCUAAAGACGGUGUCCUGGAGAGUGACACCCCCUCUCCCUGCCCCAUCCCCAGUGGCCUCCCCUGGGAACUGUCUCCAGGCAGCAGGUGAGGAGCUGGUGUGCCAGUGUGCCAGUGAUGACACAGGUCUGACUCCUUUUUCUUCCUCUGAGCCCCUCUUCUCUCUGAAACAGGGACGAAGUGGGGGACACAGUUCCCUUGCCCGGCAGGCACGUACAGCUCCCAGACAGGCAACAGCCAGCUCGAGGACUGCCUGCCCUGCCCCCCAGGAGCCUUCUGCCCCAGUGGGGUCCCUGAGCCGGAGCUCUGCCCACAGCCAAGAGACCCACCAGAGGAGGACCUGCUCCCCAGGUCAUCACUGCCGCCAGGGCACUAGCCACCUCCCUAGGCCCUGUCCUCCAGGCGUGUCCAGUCCCUGGGAGGACCGAAGCCAGGCCCACAGCUGCCCACCAUGUCCUGCAGGUGAGGAGGGGGGCCAAGGCUGUGCAGUGGGGCCUGAGGGACGCAGCUCCUGGGAAACAGAGGUCUGUGACCCGAGGUUGAGGGCAAGGCCUUUUGACUGUGGGGAAUCCCUUAACUCGGGAAUCCUGAGUUCUCCCCUCAUAGAGCUGAGAUGAGCAUUAAAUAAGAUGGACCUCAGGAAGGGCAGUAAAGAAACACCUGUCCUGAAGGAGGCUGCAGAGGAGAAUAAGCCUGAGGAGAGGCACGGUUGGGCAUGGACCCCACCACAGCGAUGGCCCCUCCUGCAGGGCAGGCGAGCGGCAGGGGUGGAGAGCGUAACAGAGAAAGGUAGGAUCCAAUUUCUGCAGGGUCUCUGAAGUGCAGGAAAUGCCCCAUCUCUGCUGGUGCCUGGCCAAGGCUUCCACGCUGCCCAAAAGAUCAGGAAAGCACCACGACAGCUUUCCCGAAGCAGAAGUUCAAGGCUGAACUUAGGAAGGAGGAUCCUAAAAAGGUCACAAUCGCAGGGCACUGGGCUGGAGGAGCUUUAGGAGCAGAACUUCCCACAUGUCCUUGCAGCCACAAGAGGGAGCCUGGACCUGUGUUCCCCAAGGCCCUUGAGUGGCAGGCCCAGCCUUCAGCCCUGGCAUGGUCCCAGCAUGACCUUGGCGGCCCCGAGCCCACAGGCAGGGCUCUGAGGACUAUGUUGUGGGAUUAACAUUCACCCAGCAGACUCUACCAAGUGACGCUUCAGCUUCACAGGCAGUGACUCCAGGACGGGGUCGGGGGACACCCCAGGAUGGAGAGGCUAAUAAAACCACCCCCAGCCCUAACCCCAGCCCCACCUUCCCCCUCCCUGAGACAGCUCAUGAGGUGAGGUGACCUCUAACCCUCCCGAGUCACCUGAGGGUUGGGGGGUUGUGGAGAUGACUUUCAUGCACGCUGUGAGGACACCAGUGAUUUCACCUGAGCUCCUCCACCUUCUUUUUGCACCUUUGGCUACCUGUGUGGGGAAGGUGACGCGUCGUCUUUCGCAGGUGUCCCUACCCUCCCAUAUAAGACAUGUCUUCACACAGACAAAGCCGUCGGCUUUAGGGACAGUCACACAUUACUCUUUCUUUUCUCUUCCCAUAGAAAUGUAAGGGCCCCCUCUCCUUAGAGUACUUGUCAGUGUAAUUUUUGUUAAAUUAGGUCCAUCUCAUUCAGAAAGGGUUUGAACAAACCAUAAGUGAUGACAUCAUCAAUGUGUAAAUGAAAACAAGCUUAGCUGGAGUGGAAACAGGUUUCUAGAACACUCAUCUGGAGGCCCCCCGAGUGGGGUCUGGAACCCCAACUCUUCAGUGCCCUGCAGUGCCCUCCACACCGAGAGUGGGGCUGAAGGCACCACCCACCUUUCCCCAGGAUGGGCAAGUCCUAGAACCCCCACGCUUUCUCCCCAGCUUUGGGUUCCUAAGCAGAGUCUGGCACAGACAGGCAAGAAUUAAUUCAGAAGGGGCCGCAUCUCAGGGCCCACUGCCAUCCCUGGCCUUGAAAGCCACCCUGGCAGUGGAGGGCACUGUCACUCCAGCUCACAAGCUCUGCUCCCUUAUUCUGGGAAAUGUCCCCCUGCAGGUGUGGGUGAGGUGGGGGUGGUCGAGAGCCUGGCAGGGGUCCAGGGAGGGCUGCCCUGCAAUCUCAGCCACUUCUGAUUCUCUGGGCAGGAGCUGAGGUCACUCAUCCCAAUAAAGACAUCCAUGUGAGUGCAGGGGGGCCCUGCCCUCCAGGUCACUUCUGUCCAGUGGGCAUGGGGGUGCCCCUGCCAUGCCCUGUGGGCACCUUCUCAGAUCGGUGAGUAUGAGUGCCGCUGCCCUGGUCCCAGAGGCUGAGCCCAGACCUCCUCUCGGUCCUCCUUUCCUCUGACCAGCUGACCAACAAUAUCCCUCAGCCAUGGGAGGGUGUGAGGCUGGGACAGCAGGACUUCCACCCGGGCUGGGAGGGCAGAAAGCCUUGGGGAGUGUGGGUUGGAGGGGCCAGAUCGAGGGCAGGCCAUGCGGGCUUUGAGGGGCUUGAGAACACGUCAUACUCAAGAAAGCAAAGCCAUUAAGAAUAUGUGUCUGCCGAUGUCUCUUUUGAGACCAGACCCUCUCCUCAUCUUUAGGACCCUCCCAGCUCCCAAGAGAAGACAGCCCAAAGCAAGGGCCAGUCAUGGAGCCAAUGGCUCGGGGGAGGGCGGCAGGGGAGUGUGGGGCAGUUAGAUGUUGUGAUUGUAGCUGCCGGAUCACAGAGGUCUGUGGCCCUGGAUGGCCUGAGCUUGAAUUGGGAUUAAGACAGAGAAGAAUUAUAACCAGGUUCAUAUCUCAGAGCGGAAAGAGAGAAACAGAGAGAAGAGCCACACUUUCCCUCAGGCACCUGCCGGAAAUGCUACCUAAGAGAGGAGAGAUGAAAAGGAAAUUGUGAAAAGGCGGUCCCUGCCAGGGUGCGCCUGGGUCCACCCUUUCAGAGUGGCCUGGUCUCACAGCCCCUUCCUCCCACCUGCUCCCUUUCCUGGCCCAUCUCCUGGGUUUCUUUGUGUCUCCCCAGGAUAUUUCUCUCCACGGCCUCUGAGUGCCUGUCCUGUCCCCCCGGCUAUUUCUGCGGUGCCUCUGGCCUGGCUGCGCCCUCCGGCCCCUGCUCCCCCGGCUACUUCUGUCUGGCAGGAGCCUCCUCCCCAACCCCGACAGGUAUGGAGCCCCCUGGGAGUGGGUGGGCCCUGUACCACCCAAUGCCCUGAAGUGGGGGCUCUGAUGGUUUGGCGCCGAUGGGCUGUGGGUGGUUUGAGGAC
ensembl:lncRNA